rnacentral:rRNA from 1 species
GUGCCAGCCGCCGCGGUAAGACGAACCGUGCGAACGUUGUUCGGAAUCACUGGGCUUAAAGGGCGCGUAGGCGGCUCAUCAAGUCCGGGGUGAAAGCCCCCAGCUCAACUGGGGAAGUGCCUCGGAUACUGGUGAGCUCGAGGGAGGUAGGGGCGGAUGGAACUUCCGGUGGAGCGGUGAAAUGCGUUGAUAUCGGAAGGAACGCCGGUGGCGAAAGCGAUCCGCUGGCCCUCUACUGACGCUGAGGCGCGAAAGCCAGGGGAGCAAACGGGAUUAGAUACCCCAGUAGUCC